rnacentral:rRNA from 1 species
AAAAACUAAGGUGGUAUAUGAUGGAUCCGCGUCUGAUUAGCCAGUUGGUGAGGUAACGGCUCACCAAAGCGACGAUCAGUAGCCGGCCUGAGAGGGCGGACGGCCACAUUGGGACUGAGACACGGCCCAGACUCCUGCGGGAGGCAGCAGUGGGGGAUAUUGCACAAUGGGGGAAACCCUGAUGCAGCGACGCCGCGUGAGUGAAGAAGUAAUUCGUUACGUAAAGCUCUAUCAGCAGGGAAGAAAAUGACGGUACCUGACUAAGAAGCCCCGGCUAACUACGUGCCAGCAGCCGCGGUAAUACGUAGGGGGCAAGCGUUAUCCGGAAUUACUGGGUGUAAAGGGAGCGCAGACGGCAGUGCAAGUCUGGAGUGAAAGCCCGUGGCUUAACCACGGGACUGCUCUGGAAACUGUGCAGCUAGAGUGCAGGAGAGGCAGGCGGAAUUCCUAGUGUAGCGGUGAAAUGCGUAGAUAUUAGGAGGAACACCGGUGGCGAAGGCGGCCUGCUGGACUGUAACUGACGUUGAGGCUCGAAAGCGUGGGGAGCAAACAGGAUUAGAUACCCUGGUAGUCCACGCCGUAAACGAUGAUUACUAGGUGUCGGGGGACGAUAGU